GCUGUUUCAUCACUGCAGGUUGUGUGGGCUCCGGGGAUGAUCUGCUCAGGGCAGGCAGGUGCUCCUGGCAGGUGUGGCCUUCACUGAGCGCAAGCUUCAAUCCCCACAUCGACUUCACUGCUGCUCUUCUGGGCCGGGACCACCCGCUCCUCUCUGCUGGCUCCCCUCACCCCAACCCCUCACACCCGGACCCUCCACAAGACUCAUUCCACCUCCUCGCUCUCUAUGUGCUGUUGUCUCCCACCAGCCCUGUCUUCACUAUAUCAGACACUUCUUAUUGCCUUCCCAUCUUUGAUCUAACAAAACAGUAACUGCCUGUUUGGAAGACCAAAACUGAGUUAAGCAAUGCUUAGCUUUAAUUUUUUUUUUUUAAUAUAAAGUUUGUAUGCAUUUUAUUAAACUCUCUGAAGCCAGCAAUGUUUACAUUAUUUAAGAUUUUCAUAAAACCUCUGAUCUUGGUUCAGGUUUUCCUCCUCAAGAUACAUUCAAUUUCACCCUAGUGUUUUGCUCGACUUGUCCCGUUUGAUGUUAUCUGCAGGAAUCCCAUGAGUCUGGGGCUGCUGGAGAUGGUUCACUGCCAGGGGUGAGCUUCAUGUUCGCUAGCUAUGCUUCCUGGACUCCACCCCUACCUUAUUGUUGGGGAAUGAAUUAUACUGAAUUUGUUAAGUUGAUGGUGGGCUUUGAAAUCCAGGCAAACUUGUGUUGUGAGCAGAGUCAUGAAGAAAUAAAAGCAUUUUAACUAGAAGAUUAAUCUGAGACUCGGCACUGCUGAUUGUCUUCCUCCUAUUCACUUUAAAUGGUGGCCAAAUUCUGCGAGUCCUAUUCAAAGAGGGAGGAAGAAGAUCUAGAAGUUCUUCCCCACUGAGAAAACUGAAGAAGCCACCUUGGGAAAGCGUGAUGUUCAAAACUAAGCCAGAAGAAGCAUUUUCUUACGCACACUUGCACAUUAUCUGGAGAGAGCAUGAUGCUGCCAUCACUGGGCUCCUUCCCAGCUAUUUUGUGACAUUCGACACUGAGCAUGUUCAAUGAAUAUAUUCAUUGAAAUAAUUUUCAGGGAAGACUCUUUGGAAACUUUGACUUUUUAUAAACAGUUUUGACUAAGAACAAGGAAUUUGAUGUAGAGAGUGAGGCAGAAGAAGGUAUCACAUGCAGAAGACAGAGAAAGGAUAAUGGGAUCUCUACACAUUACCACUGAACAGGUGGUUAGUGGUACCUUUUUUGCCUUUAUGUAUUGAAGAAUAUUAUUUGAUGGCAGUCAUCAAAAGUACGGUUGUCUUUCCAGAGAGAAAUCAGAGUAAGGAACACGUGCUUCUAUUGUCCCAUGAUAGUGGGCUCAGGAGUCAGUCUAGAGAACACUGUGACAUGGCUUUCUUUGGAAACUUGGACUCAGCAGAUGUCCAUUUGUGAGUAUUUUAGAUGGAAAUUUGUAAGAAAGAAUAUCUUUGAGAUGUCUCCACAUAUGAUCUCACAGAGAAAUCUAAAGACGUUGCCUUGGGAAAGCGUGAUGUUCAAAACUAAACCAUAAUAAACACACACAGACACUCCAACUAUUUCUGUGGGACCUGCCCAUCCUCAACAGAGAUUUCCAGGACAAACGGCACCCCACUGUGGAAGGACCUAGGCCAGGGCCAAGCCUCUUUAGCCCCAAACUUCUGAGAGUUAGGAUAUCAAGGCAUGAGGUUAUGACUGAUUUGAAUAAGACACAGUAUGCUUUUCUAAUAUGUAAUGUUAUCCUUUCUGAAACCAGAUCCAGUAUAAUUUAGAAAUUUCAAUACCCAUAUUGUCUCGUCCAUUUAAAACCUAAAGACAUGAGAACCAUAGUUAGCAAGUAACCAAUUUAGAGACUUUAACAACUCAAGAGAGAAUAGGCAUUUUCAUCACCAUGUGAAGAUUUAUAGUCAUUACUGAUGACUGAGAUAAGAAAGUGCUCUCAAAUAUGAGAACGGAGUGAUUUGGAAUUCAUUCUUUUCAAUGCCUCCGGUCUUAUUUUCAAAGUUCCCAUUAGGAACAUAUACCUGUCCUUUUGCAGUCUCUAAAAAUUACUGAGCUACAGUUUGAGGAAAGUAAAUGCUUAGUUUCAUUGUUUCUGUCAUUCAGCGGUGAGCUUGAACAAUUGAUGUGUUGUUAUAUUUUAGGAAAAAAAGUUAUUUACAUUACUAAGUUUUAAUUAGAAUGAACACAAAAGUUACUUAAAAAUUGGUAAGGGACCAAGUUAGUUUUGCAUUAAGCUUGAGUGAUGAAACUAUGCCUUGUAAGUCCCUCUGUAUCGCCGAAAUGCUAAAAUGCUAUUUUCUUUCUCAGGCUGAUUGAAUGAAGCUUCAGCUGAGGGGCUAGAGACAUGGAAAACAGUUCUCGUGACUCUUCUAGAAGUAGCACCUGAAGCUGUAGAGUAGCUCUUUAUUAACUCAUGUUUUGAUCCUUGUCUAUCCUAAGGUUAAGGAAUAACAUAACUGUGUAUUCUGCCAGUAUAAAUGUGAGUUUCUGAUCCUUGGCAUUGCUGAGAUGGUGACCUGGAUAACUGUUGUGGACAGCUACGCUGUGCCUUGUGGGGUACAGAGUGGCAUCUCUGGUCUGUAGGCACUUGGUACCCAGGAGAACCUCCCCUCAGUUAUGACAUCUGCAGACAUUUGCCAAAUGUUCCCUGAGAAGAGGGAGCAGAAUCACUGUCCUUUGAGAACCACUGCUCUGACUAGGGGAAACAUUACAUUUAAGUAAUUAGCCCCCCCCAUUCUACCUGAGCAUUAAAAACUCAAAGUCAUAGCAUAAGCUAAAAUUUCAUCUUGAAUUGGCCAAAAAUACCAAUAUGUCUAAGCUAAUUUGUGUUAAGAUUCAGGUGGGCCCUUUUUUCAAGCCCAGAACUUUUCUCCUGUCUGCCUGAGAGAAUGAACUGUCAGUACAGAACUGUAGGGAUAGAGUCACAACUUGUUCUGGAUCUUAUUAAUCCCCGAGCUGUAUACAUUUAAAAGCUGCUUUCUGACAUAAAAAUCCUCUGCGAGGGUGUGCUCCCUGAAUUUCCUCUGACACUACAGAGCGACAUUUCGGUAUUUGGUCGUAAGGAACUCCCAUGCUCUUACUUAAUCUUGUUACUGGUUUCACAGGCAUUUUCCCUUCUUACCUGGGAUGUUGCUGGCUACAAAUUAUUGUGUCAUUGUUCUGCCAAAAGCAUCACCCAAAAGGGAUUUUCAAGCAAACCAAUAUCACAAUGUAGACAAGAUUAUCAUAAUUUGAGAGCUGGCUUCUUCAAGGCCUCUGGGGUCUUUGUGUCAAAUCUUUGUUUUUGAGUGAAACCAGCAUGAAGUGGAAUUGAGAAAUGCAUGAGUAAUUGGUAUCCCCACAAAAAGGGUUGGCUUGUGAAGAUUUCACGCCAAGCUGGGAGUGUGGAGGUAGAUUUAAAGCAAACGCUGGUCUAUCGAUCUUAGACACAUUUAGUUCAGUAACUUUAAAUGCUGGUGAUGAAACAGCACUGAGUUACUCAAAAAUAGUUCAGAAAAAAAGGUGUGUUCAAGGGAGAGAAAAGGAAGAAAGAAAAAAAAAAAAAAACAGGCCAAGCAAGAAAGACAAUAUCAGUCUAGGGAUAACCCAUUCAAAACACUGAAAUAAUAUAAUCAUCUCUUAUGAGAAAAUGAAAUUCACUUUAUAAGCUCAGGUGAACAAAACACGAGAAAGUGAGUUAUUCCUCACUCCAGGGGAAUUUGAGAACAGGUCCUGACA